UCACAUGAAACCCAGUUCAGAACAAAGAUUCAUGACGAGAUGAGGCAGCUACAGGCAACUACUUGGCAUGUGCUGAUUCACACAAUGCAACUGCCCAGAUAGCAAAUAUUUUGGCUGUAUUAUGGCAUACAUUUGGCAUUUUUGGCUUCCUUUUGGCAUUAAGGAAGCCUUUUGGCUUAACUGUGGUAUGAUUAAGGUUGUCCAUAAUAGAUAAGGAAGCGCCAGCAAUAUAUGGCUGAGUUAUAGCAUAUGUCUGGUUAACCAAAAGACUGGGCAAAGAGCGGGAUCAAGUAUUAGGGAUGGUAUGGCAUGUUUAUGGCAAGCCAGAAGAUUGAGUAAAGAGCGGCAACAUCUGAUUCCAUAUAUGGAUGUGUUUUGGAUGUGUUUUGGCAUAUUUCUGUAAAGCCAAAACACUGCGCAAACAGCGGGAAUUUCUACCCAGAAGAGAACCCCACUUCAUUUUAAAAGCAGGAUCAACACUGAGGUCACCUCUCUAGGACUUGCUGGGGGUGCCACUAUGAAAGACACAGGUCGGGGCAUCCUCAAACGAGCCAUGAGAAAUGAUCUGGCUCUAAAAGUAACCUGGAGUGGUGUAAAUGGAAAGCUGGCCUUUGAAAGGCUUCAUCUAAAAGCGGUGGUAGUGGAAGCUGUGAGAAGAAACCCCGCCUGCUCUUUAGUCACUGAUAAUGAGAUUGCAAAAGCAAUUAAAAAGUGGUUACUGGGCUGGGGAUAGAGACGGCGGGAGGAGGAAGCACCAGGACUUAGCCAGGACCAAGCCAGGACCCAGCCAGAACCCAGCCAGCACCCAGCCAGGAGCGCAUUGAAUGGAAGGAGGCUAUAGUAAUAGAACUGUAUAUAUGUUCUAUGAUAUGUUCUAUAACAUGUUUAUAACUGUUGUCUAUUAUACAACAGUUAAUUUCCUCACUUUGGCACACUUUGAAAAAAAGAUGUUGGAUAGAUGUAAUUUCUCAUUUGUAGCCUGCUUGUUGUGUUUUUUUUGCCUGCAUUCUACUUUUAACUGAUCUUUGUGUGCCUGUCAGACAUUUCCAGGGCCAUAUGCAAUUAAUAAAAAAAAAUGAAAUGA